rnacentral:tRNA from 1 species
GAGCGUCGGGGUUGGUUAGAGCGCUACACUCACAUUGUAGAGGUCAGAGGUUCAAGUCCUCUAAUGCCCA